UCAGUCGACUCCUACGGGGAGGCAGCAGUGGGGAAUAUUGCACAAUGGGGGAAACCCUGAUGCAGCCAUGCCGCGUGUGUGAAGAAGGCCUUCGGGUUGUAAAGCACUUUCAGUAGGGAGGAAGGUAGUGUAGUUAACACCUGCACUAUUUGACGUUACCUACAGAAGAAGCACCGGCUAACUCCGUGCCAGCAGCCGCGGUAAUACGGAGGGUGCGAGCGUUAAUCGGAAUUACUGGGCGUAAAGCGCAUGCAGGCGGCCUGUUAAGUCAGAUGUGAAAGACCCGGGGCGUUAAACCUCGGAAAUUGCAUUUGAAACUGGCAGGCUAGAGUCUUGUAGAGGGGGGUAGGAAUUUCAGGUGUAGCGGUGAAAUGCGUAGAGAUCUGAAGGAAUACCAGUGGCGAAGGCGGCCCCCUGGACAAAGACUGACGCUCAGAUGCGAAAGCGUGGGGAGCAAACAGGAUUAGAUACCCCUGGUAG
rnacentral:rRNA from 1 species